UGGGGGUUGGCCAAGUCCGGUCUAAGGCGCCGCACUCUGACUGCGGAGAUCCUGGGUUCGAAUCCCAGACCCCUUGCCA
rnacentral:tRNA from 1 species